rnacentral:rRNA from 1 species
AGCGAACGCUGGCGGCAGGCCUAACACAUGCAAGUCGAACGAACCUUUCGGGGUUAGUGGCGGACGGGUGAGUAACACGUGGGAACGUGCCUUUAGGUUCGGAAUAACUCAGGGAAACUUGUGCUAAUACCGAAUGUGCCCUUCGGGGGAAAGAUUAAUCGCCUUUAGAGCGGCCCGCGUCUGAUUAGCUAGUUGGUUGAGGUAAUGGCUCACCAAGGCGACGAUCAGUAGCUGGUCUGAGAGGAUGAUCAGCCACAGUGGGACUGAGACACGGCCCAAACUCCUACGGGAGGCAGCAGUGGGGAAUCUUGCGCAAUGGGCGAAAGCCUGACGCAGCCAUGCCGCGUGAAUGAUGAAGGUCUUAGGAUUGUAAAAUUCUUUCACCGGGGACGAUAAUGACGGUACCCGGAGAAGAAGCCCCGGCUAACUUCGUG